GACGAACCGUGCGAACGUUAUUCGGAAUCACUGGGCUUAAAGCGCGUGUAGGCGGAUGGGAACGUCGGCCACUGAAAGCCCCCGGCUCAGCCGGGGAAGUGGUGCCGAAACGACCCGUCUGGAGGGACGUAGGGGGACCUGGAACUUCCGGUGGAGCGGUGAAAUGCGUUGAGAUCGGAAGGAACGCCCGUGGCGAAAGCGAGGUCCUGGACGUCAUCUGACGCUGAGACGCGAAAGCUAGGGGAGCGAACAGG
rnacentral:rRNA from 1 species